AGAGUUUGAUUAUGGCUCAGGAUGAACGCUAGCGGCAGGCUUAACACAUGCAAGUCGAGGGGCAGCAUUCACUUCGGUGAGAUGGCGACCGGCGCACGGGUGCGUAACGCGUAUGCAACCUGCCUUCAACAGGAGGAUAGCUCUCGGAAACGGGGAUUAAUACUCCAUAGCAACCUAAAGCGGCAUCGUUUAAGGUUUAAAGCUCCGGCGGUUGAAGAUGGGCAUGCGUGACAUUAGCUUGUUGGUGAGGUAACGGCUCACCAAGGCGAUGAUGUCUAGGGGUCCUGAGAGGGUAAUCCCCCACACUGGUACUGAGACACGGACCAGACUCCUACGGGAGGCAGCAGUGAGGAAUAUUGGUCAAUGGGCGCAAGCCUGAACCAGCCAUGCCGCGUGCAGGAAGACUGCCCUAUGGGUUGUAAACUGCUUUUCUGCAGGGAUAAUAUCUUUUACGUGAUAGAGGAUUGAAGGUACUGUAGGAAUAAGCACCGGCUAACUCCGUGCCAGCAGCCGCGGUAAUACGGAGGGUGCAAGCGUUAUCCGGAUUUAUUGGGUUUAAAGGGUGCGUAGGCUGUAACAUAAGUCAGUGGUGAAAUACCGGGGCUCAACUCCGGGGCUGCCAUUGAAACUAUGUUACUUGAGUUCAGUGGGAGUAGGCGGAAUGUGUUGUGUAGCGGUGAAAUGCAUAGAUAUAACACAGAACACCGAUCGCGAAGGCAGCUUACUAUACUUGGACUGACGCUGAUGCACGAAAGCGUGGGGAGCGAACAGGAUUAGAUACCCUGGUAGUCCACGCCGUAAACGAUGUUCACUCGCUGUUGGCGAUAUACCGUCAGCGGCCAAGCGAAAGUGAUAAGUGAACACCCUGGGGGAGUACGAUCGCAAGUUUGAAACUCAAAGGAAUUGACGGGGGCCCGCACAAGCGGAGGAACAUGGUGGUUUAAUUCGAUGAUACGCGAGGAACCUUACCUGGGCUAGAACGGCAAGCGACGUUAUGUGAAAGCAUAAUUUCUUCGGACGCUUGUUGAGGGGCUGCAUGGGUGUCCUCAGCUCUUGCCCUGAGGGGGUCCGGGUUAAAUCCCCUAAAGAAGCGCACCCCCAUA
rnacentral:rRNA from 1 species